UACGUAGGUGGCAAGCGUUAUCCGGAAUUAUUGGGCGUAAAGAGCGCGCAGGUGGACUGUCAAGUCAGCGGUAAAAUUGAGAGGCUCAACCUCUUCCCGCCGUUGAAACUGGUGGUCUUGAGUGGAUGAGAAGUACGCGGAAUGCGUGGUGUAGCGGUGAAAUGCAUAGAUAUCACGCAGAACUCCGAUUGCGAAGGCAGCGUACCGGCAUCCAACUGACGCUGAGGCACGAAAGCGUGGGGAUCAAACAGG
rnacentral:rRNA from 1 species